rnacentral:rRNA from 1 species
UACGGGGGGGCAAGCGUUGUUCGGAAUUACUGGGCGUAAAGGGCUCGUAGGCGGCCAACUAAGUCGGACGUGAAAUCCCUCGGCUUAACCGGGGAACUGCGUCCGAUACUGGAUGGCUUGAGUUCGGGAGAGGGAUGCGGAAUUCCAGGUGUAGCGGUGAAAUGCGUAGAUAAUCUGGAGGAACACCGGUGGCGAAGGCGGCAUCCUGGACCGACACUGACGCUGAGGAGCGAAAGCCAGGGAGCGAAA